GGCAACCAACCCGCGAAGAGGAGCUAAUCCCAAAAAACCGGUCGUAGUCCGGAUUGCAGUCUGCAACUCGACUGCAUGAAGUCGGAAUCGCUAGUAAUCGCGGAUCAGAAUGCCGCGGUGAAUACGUUCCCGGGUCUUGUACACACCGCCCGUCACACCAUGGGAGUGGAGUGCGCCAGAAGCAGGUAGCCUAACCGCGAGGAGGGCGCCUACCACGGUGCGCUUCAUGACUGGGGUGAAAGGUCGAUA
rnacentral:rRNA from 1 species